rnacentral:pre_miRNA from 1 species
AGAAUUAAGAAGAUGACGGGCUACCGAACGACCGGGUGCCACGCUGUGCUCUCUCGGUGUUACUGGUGAGUGAACACAGCUGGUGGUAUCUCAGUUGUUCCUUAGUUCU